AUACGUAGGUGACAAGCGUUAUCCGGAUUUACUGGGUGUAAAGGGCGUGUAGGCGGUUUAGCAAGUCAGAAGUGAAAUUCCCGGGCUUAACUUGGGCGCUGCUUCUGAAACUGCUUUACUUGAGUGCUGGAGAGGAUAGUGGAAUUCCUAGUGUAGCGGUAAAAUGCGCAGAUAUUAGGAGGGACACCGGUGGCGAAGGCGGCUAUCUGGACAGUAACUGACGCUGAGGCGCGAAAGCACGGGGAGCAAACAGGAUUAGAUACCCUGGUAGUCCACGCUGGAAACGAUGAAUACUAGGUGUGGGGGUACUGACCCCCUCCGUGCCGCAGUUAACACAAUAAGUAUUCCACCUGGGGAGUACGAUCGCAAGAUUGAAACUCAAAUGAAUUGGCGGGG
rnacentral:rRNA from 1 species